CAGAAUAUUGCCAGGGGAGGGGGUGUCAAGCACCACGCACCGUGUUGGGUCUGCCUAUCCUUCACCAAACACCCAGAGAUCCUCAGGAAGAAGAGGUUUGCCGUCUUAUUGUGGCCUCUGUGACUUGGGAAGCAGGAUCAGGCUAGUAACUGGUGGAUUCAGGCUCUGGACCCAGGCAGUCUGGCCUCAGCACCUGAGCUCCUAACCAAUCUCCUGUUGCUGUCAUUUCCCGGAUCGGGGAUCGAGGUCCUAAGAAAAUGGGACACGGUAUCUUAAGAGAAUAGCAGGCACAACGGGGGUCCGACCCGAAGCAGGGAGUGGGGCCUUCCGCCUCUCAGCUGCUCCCUUGCCCCUUGAUCCUUCACAGGUGCUUCCCCAGUACAUCUCUGGCGUGUCUAAUACCGUCUUGGCGUUUGCUUCUCAGAGGACCCGAACUGACUCACUGAGAGAAGAAGUGAGAAAAAAUGACCCUUAGUCUGCCUGGGCUGCUAUAACAAAAUACCCAGAGACUGGCAUGACAGACAUUUGUUCUUUGGAGGCAUGUGAACAUCCAGCCACACCACCCUUCUCCUGUUUUGACUAUAAUCUACUUAAGAAGAUUAAAUUUACAGACAAGAAAUGGCUAAGAAACCAUUCAAGGUGGGCGCCUGGGUGGCUCAGUUGGGUAAGCGUCUGCCUUCGGCUCAGGUCAUGAUCUUAGGGUCCUGGCAUUGAGCCCCACGGUGGGCUCCCUGCUCAGCAGAGAGUCUUCUUCUCCCUCUACCCCUCACUCGUACUUGUGAUCUCUUUCUCUCUCUCAUGCUCUCUCUCUC